rnacentral:rRNA from 1 species
AUGCUGUUGAGUGGUAUUGCGAACUGUUGUGGAUGUCUCAAUUCUUUUUCUGAGCAUUUACAGCUGUUAUGCUGUCCAAUUUUCCUUAGCAAUUCUAAUGUCUUUGCAUUGUGGUUGUGCUUUCAGAUGGCCAACCAUGCUCAAAACCAAGUGGUUCGCCUAACCCGGUGUCUCGAUGUGCCCGGUCAUACUGCUAUGUUAGUCCGGGUCAUGAUCGAGAUGGGUUACUGUUGGUAUCCCGAAUACACCGUCGAAGAGCAGUUCCGCGACUUUAAUCAAAGCCAGUAUUUCUGCACCGUCAGGAUAUUUCCUUCUUAUCCUGGAUCUACCGAGCCCCUUCACUGUUCCUAUGGACUCGGGGUUACCGUUGAGAUGGCUGUGCAGGAUGCUGCCUAUUCCAUGAUGACCAUCAUGCGAGUCCGGACUGGCCUGCUUCGAAACACCGACUUCCGUUACAUGCCAGCUUCACUUCCGGGAGCGCAAGGGUAUAUUCAGGCUAUCUAUGCUGACUCCACUCAGGAGGACUCAUUAACUCGUACCACUGCCGAGAUGCUCGAAGAUAAGGACCGAAAGAAUCGGGCCUUGAGGCUGGAGCUUUUUAAUACCCGUGCUGAUCAUUGGGCCACAUUGACUCGGUUUGCACCUGCGGUGCAAGCUGGAUGUAUGGAUACAAGGGAUCUGUAUCCUGUGAGAUCAGCUCUGCCAGACAUGGUGGAUUGGCAUGAUGUGGGAGGCAUCACCCCACCCUGUGGUCCCCGCAGGCCACCGUCUGUUGGUCCAAGACCUCAUCCUAGCCCCUAUGGUCCACACGCUCCUCAGGACCGUCUGUUCCCGGAUGGUCACGUUGAACUUCCAGGCUAUGGAGGUGACUUCUAUGAGGACUACUACGGAGCUGUCUGA